UACGGAAGGCAGCAGUGGGGAAUAUUGCACAAUGGGCGAAAGCCUGAUGCAGCUAUGCCGCGUGUAUGAAGAAGGCCUUAGGGUUGUAAAGUACUUUCAUCGGGGAGGAAAAAACAAAACUAAUAAUUUUAUUUCUUGACGUUACCCGAAAAAGAAGCACCGGCUAACUCCGUGCCAGCAGCCGCGGUAAUACGGAGGGUGCUAGCGUUAAUCAGAAUUACUGGGCGUAAAGAGCACGUAGGUGGUUUUUUUAAGUCAGAUGUGAAAUCCCUGGGCUUAACCUGGAACUGCAUUUUGAAACUGAAAUACUAGAGUAUCGUAGAGGGAGGUAGAAUUCUAGGUGUAGCGGUGAAAUGCGUAGAUAUCUGGAGGAAUACCUGUGGCGAAAGCGGCCUCCUAAACGAAUACUGACACUGAGGUGCGAAAGCGUGGGGAGCGAAACAGGGAUUAGAUACCCGU
rnacentral:rRNA from 1 species